rnacentral:lncRNA from 1 species
CAGAUCAUGAUGGACUUUUCAUAUAUAGGGAAGAGAGAAAUUUGAUGAUGAAAAUGAUGGAGUUACUAAUGACAGCAAAAUAACAGAUGAGGAGUUUAACGAGAGCUUUGCUGAUAAACAUUGAAUUAUGAAAUGAACAUCAAAAAGUGUUGAUAGAAAAUAUGUGUUUCAUUUACCCGACACAUUCUUAGAGACUCAAAGUAUCUUGAGGUACGUUAUUCCACUCGUCAUCCUGCCCCUCCCCCACCUCCUCUGGUCUCUGGUACAGCUGUGUGUUUGGUACCAAUACAACAAGCUGGUCAUUCUCAGGAUUCUGGUUUACUGGUUGAACUGU